rnacentral:rRNA from 1 species
GACGAACGCUGGCGGCGUGCUUAACACAUGCAAGUCGAACGGCAAGGCCCUGCUUUUGUGGGGUGCUCGAGUGGCGAACGGGUGAGUAACACGUGAGUAACCUGCCCUUGACUUUGGGAUAACUUCAGGAAACUGGGGCUAAUCCCAGAUAGGAUCUGCUGCUGCAUGGUGGGGGUUGGAACGUUUCGGCGGUUGGGGCUGGACUCGCGGCUUAUGAGCUUGUUGGUUGGGUAGUUGUUUACCAAGGCUUUGACGGGUCGCCGGCCUGGGAGGGUGACCGGGGUCAUGGGGACUGAGAGAGGGCGCAGAGUCCAACGUGAGGCAGCAGUGGGGAGUAUGGCACAAUGGGCGGAAGCCUGAGACAGCAGCGCCGCGUGCGGGAUGACGGUCUGCGGGGUGUAAACCGCCGUAGCCUGUGACGAAGCGGGAGUGACGGUAAUGGGUAAAGAAGCACCGGCUAACUACGUG